rnacentral:rRNA from 1 species
UGCCAGCAGCCGCGGUAAUACGAAGGGGGCUAGCGUUGUUCGGAAUUACUGGGCGUAAAGGGCGCGUAGGCGGAUUGAUCAGUUUGGUGUGAAAGCCCGGGGCUCAACCUCGGAACUGCAUUAAAUACUGUCAAUCUAGAAUCCCGGAGGGGAGUGUGGAAUUUCUAGUGUAGAGGUGAAAUUCGUAGAUAUUAGAAAGAACACCAGUGGCGAAGGCGACACUCUGGACGGGUAUUGACGCUGAGGCGCGAAAGCGUGGGGAGCAAACAGGAUUAGAUA